rnacentral:lncRNA from 1 species
CAACUCAAACGGAACCCUGUUCACACCGCUGUGCCAAUCGUUCUCGGUUUGGACCACCAGCAACACAUAUAUAAUUUGUUUUUAGUAUUUUGAUAAUAAAUCAUUAGUCUCAUAAAGAAUAAAAUGAAUUGAUACCUCUACAACUAGAAUUUUUCAUGAAUGUUCUAUAUGCAUUGCUUGAUGAAUGAUAUCCAAGGAUAGAAGUAUCUUUAUCAGAUUUGGCAUUAUUUUCAUAAGAGCAUAUCAAGUAUAGUAUGUACGACUGAAAAAUAUGAAAGAUAUGCAAUGGUUCAUUUUCCAUUUUUCAGAAGAUCAUAAGGAGUUUUCAUCAAAACUAGAUCUAAUAGAAAUCGUAUGUAUGACAAGCAGUGAUGAUAGUUUUUUUUUAAAAAAAAAAUCAUUUAAGUAGAUGACUAUCAUACACAAUUGUCUUUUUCAUUUCUUCAAGAAUUCUAUUACUCCUAUUUUACUUAUGAUGUCCUUGGAGCUGAAAUAAUCGAGUUUAAUAUUAUUUUCUGUAUAACCUUUAUCAGGAUUUUGGUUUUCAACACUGUGCCAUGAUUCAUAGUUUGGAAACCUUUAUCAUUUGAAGCACUUUCACACGAUUCAGCAAAUACAGAAAAUAUUUUAAGUUUAUUUUCCAAGAAC